CGUCAAAUCAUCAUGCCCCUUAUGUCUUGGGCUACACACGUGCUACAAUGGCUGCAACAAAGGGAAGCGACAUCGUAAGAUGAAGCGAAUCUCAGAAAAGCAGUCCCAGUUCGGAUUGUGGGCUGCAACCCGCCCACAUGAAGUCGGAGUUGCUAGUAAUCGCGGAUCAGCAUGCCGCGGUGAAUACGUUCCCGGGCCUU
rnacentral:rRNA from 1 species